GGAGGUCUUAGCUUAAUUAAAGUGUCUGAGUUGCAAUCAGAAGAUGUGUUGUGUUAUACAGGCCUU
rnacentral:tRNA from 1 species